rnacentral:rRNA from 1 species
AUACGGAGGGUGCAAGCGUUAUCCGGAAUCAUUGGGUUUAAAGGGUUCGUAGGCGGGUCAAUAAGUCAGAGGUGAAAUCUUGCAGCUUAACUGUAAAAUUGCCUUUGAAACUGUUGACCUUGAAUUACUGUGAAGUGGUUAGAAUAUGUAGUGUAGCGGUGAAAUGCUUAGAGAUUACAUAGAAUACCGAUUGCGAAGGCAGAUCACUAACAGUAUAUUGACGCUGAUGAACGAAAGCGAGGGUAGCGAACGGGAUUAGAAACCCGAGUAGUCC